UUAAGCGACUAAGCGUACACGGUGGAUGCCCUGGCAGUCAGAGGCGAUGAAGGACGUGCUAAUCUGCGAUAAGCGUCGGUGAGGUGAUAUGAACCGUUAUAACCGGCGAUUUCCGAAUGGGGAAACCCAGUGUGUUUCGACACACUAUCAUUAACUGAAUCCAUAGGUUAAUGAGGCGAACCGGGGGAACUGAAACAUCUAAGUACCCCGAGGAAAAGAAAUCAACCGAGAUUCCCCCAGUAGCGGCGAGCGAACGGGGAGGAGCCCAGAGCCUGAAUCAGUGUGUGUGUUAGUGGAAGCGUCUGGAAAGGCGUGCGAUACAGGGUGACAGCCCCGUACACAAAAAUGCACAUAUUGUGAGCUCGAUGAGUAGGGCGGGACACGUGGUAUCCUGUCUGAAUAUGGGGGGACCAUCCUCCAAGGCUAAAUACUCCUGACUGACCGAUAGUGAACCAGUACCGUGAGGGAAAGGCGAAAAGAACCCCGGCGAGGGGAGUGAAAAAGAACCUGAAACCGUGUACGUACAAGCAGUGGGAGCCUCUUAAUGGGGUGACUGCGUACCUUUUGUAUAAUGGGUCAGCGACUUAUAUUCUGUAGCAAGGUUAACCGAAUAGGGGAGCCGAAGGGAAACCGAGUCUUAACUGGGCGUUAAGUUGCAGGGUAUAGACCCGAAACCCGGUGAUCUAGCCAUGGGCAGGUUGAAGGUUGGGUAACACUAACUGGAGGACCGAACCGACUAAUGUUGAAAAAUUAGCGGAUGACUUGUGGCUGGGGGUGAAAGGCCAAUCAAACCGGGAGAUAGCUGGUUCUCCCCGAAAGCUAUUUAGGUAGCGCCUCGUGAAUUCAUCUCCGGGGGUAGAGCACUGUUUCGGCAAGGGGGUCAUCCCGACUUACCAACCCGAUGCAAACUGCGAAUACCGGAGAAUGUUAUCACGGGAGACACACGGCGGGUGCUAACGUCCGUCGUGAAGAGGGAAACAACCCAGACCGCCAGCUAAGGUCCCAAACAACAGACCGCCAGCUAAGGUCCCAAAGUCAUGGUUAAGUGGGAAAGAUGGGAAACGCAUGGUUAAGUGGGAAACGAUGUGGGAAGGCGGAGUUGGCUUAGAAGCAGCCAUCAUUUAAAGAAUGUUGGCUUAGAAGCAGCCAUCAUUUAAAGAAAGCGUAAUAGCUCACUGGUCGAGUCGGCCUGCGCGGAAGAUGUAACGGGGCUAAACCAUGCACCGAAGCUGCGGCAGCGACACUAUGUGUUGUUGGGUAGGGGAGCGUUCUGUAAGCCUGUGAAGGUGGCCUGUGAGGGUUGCUGGAGGUAUCAGAAGUGCGAAUGCUGACAUAAGUAACGAUAAAGCGGGUGAAAAGCCCGCUCGCCGGAAGACCAAGGGUUCCUGUCCAACGUUAAUCGGGGCAGGGUGAGUCGACCCCUAAGGCGAGGCCGAAAGGCGUAGUCGAUGGGAAACAGGUUAAUAUUCCUGUACUUGGUGUUACUGCGAAGGGGGGACGGAGAAGGCUAUGUUGGCCGGGCGACGGUUGUCCCGGUUUAAGCGUGUAGGCUGGUUUUCCAGGCAAAUCCGGAAAACCAAGGCUGAGGCGUGAUGACGAGGCACUACGGUGCUGAAGCGACAAAUGCCCUGCUUCCAGGAAAAGCCUCUAAGCAUCAGGUAACAUCAAAUCGUACCCCAAACCGACACAGGUGGUCAGGUAGAGAAUACCAAGGCGCUUGAGAGAACUCGGGUGAAGGAACUAGGCAAAAUGGUGCCGUAACUUCGGGAGAAGGCACGCUGAUAUGUAGGUGAAGCGACUUGCUCGUGGAGCUGAAAUCAGUCGAAGAUACCAGCUGGCUGCAACUGUUUAUUAAAAACACAGCACUGUGCAAACACGAAAGUGGACGUAUACGGUGUGACGCCUGCCCGGUGCCGGAAGGUUAAUUGAUGGGGUUAGCGGCAACGCGAAGCUCUUGAUCGAAGCCCCGGUAAACGGCGGCCGUAACUAUAACGGUCCUAAGGUAGCGAAAUUCCUUGUCGGGUAAGUUCCGACCUGCACGAAUGGCGUAAUGAUGGCCAGGCUGUCUCCACCCGAGACUCAGUGAAAUUGAACUCGCUGUGAAGAUGCAGUGUACCCGCGGCAAGACGGAAAGACCCCGUGAACCUUUACUAUAGCUUGACACUGAACAUUGAGCCUUGAUGUGUAGGAUAGGUGGGAGGCUUUGAAGUGUGGACGCCAGUCUGCAUGGAGCCGACCUUGAAAUACCACCCUUUAAUGUUUGAUGUUCUAACGUUGGCCCGUAAUCCGGGUUGCGGACAGUGUCUGGUGGGUAGUUUGACUGGGGCGGUCUCCUCCUAAAGAGUAACGGAGGAGCACGAAGGUUGGCUAAUCCUGGUCGGACAUCAGGAGGUUAGUGCAAUGGCAUAAGCCAGCUUGACUGCGAGCGUGACGGCGCGAGCAGGUGCGAAAGCGCGAGCAGCUGCGAGAGCGUGACGGCGCGAGCAGGUGCGAAAGCAGGUCAUAGUGAUCCGGUGGUUCUGAAUGGAAGGGCCAUCGCUCAACGGAUAAAAGGUACUCCGGGGAUAACAGGCUGAUACCGCCCAAGAGUUCAUAUCGACGGCGGUGUUUGGCACCUCGAUGUCGGCUCAUCACAUCCUGGGGCUGAAGUAGGUCCCAAGGGUAUGGCUGUUCGCCAUUUAAAGUGGUACGCGAGCUGGGUUUAGAACGUCGUGAGACAGUUCGGUCCCUAUCUGCCGUGGGCGCUGGAGAACUGAGGGGGGCUGCUCCUAGUACGAGAGGACCGGAGUGGACGCAUCACUGGUGUUCGGGUUGUCAUGCCAAUGGCACUGCCCGGUAGCUAAAUGCGGAAGAGAUAAGUGCUGAAAGCAUCUAAGCACGAAACUUGCCCCGAGAUGAGUUCUCCCUGACUCCUUGAGAGUCCUGAAGGAACGUUGAAGACGACGACGUUGAUAGGCCGGGUGUGUAAGCGCAGCGAUGCGUUGAGCUAACCGGUACUAAUGAACCGUGAGGCUUAACCUU
rnacentral:rRNA from 1 species